AUGGUGCAGACAGGGAGGCACAUUGUGUAUCCUUUGUUUUAUCGGUUGUUGAAACUAGUAAUUGUCUUGCCUAUUGCCACUGCUACAGUUGAGAGAUGCUUUUCAGCUAUGAAACUGGUCAAAACCUUCUUGCGCAGUCGCCUCAAUGAUGAUAGUUUGAGUGAUGAUCUUAUUUGUUAUGUGGCGAAAGAAGAAAUGAAAAAGGUCACCAAUGCUCAAGUGGUUGAGUAUUUCAUGGCUCGGAGGAACAUACCGUACAAAAGGUAA
rnacentral:rRNA from 1 species